AACUUUAAUUAACUGCAGCCUUUAUUAUUUCUUAAGGUCGACAUUAGAAGAAAACGAAAACAUGCUUGAGGGGUGCAGAGGAUCGAGCCAAAGAAACUGAAAACUGUGGGUUUUCACACACCCCCACCCCCACGCACACACUUGAAUAUCAGUGUCUUUUAAACAAACAAAAAACACCCUUUCCUAGAAACUAGCUAUACACCCGCCAGGAGGGAGUGGAGAGGUAAAUAAAUCGCGGUAGAUUCAGCAGACACAGGGUAAGCAGUGCAGUGCGGAACCGGACAACGUCUCCAUAUGGGAUGGCAGGCUGAAUGCAGUGUGCGAAAACACUGAUGUGGAGUAAGUAGAUGGUAACUUGAUACACUGAGGUUGUAAGAAGGAGCUUUACACAAAGACAUUUCCAGAAGGAGAUAGACUGUUUCUCUCCGAGGUUCUGGGCUGAGGUAGGGACUAAGAGAAAACUUUGCUUUUUACUUUAUACAUUUCUGUCUUCCCUCCUCUCCCUGGCCUUUACUUUCUUUUUUUUAAAACCUUGAACAGGUAUUAUUUCUGUGUAAAUAAGCUUCAAAUGAAUUUUCAAAAUAGGCACUAGUUUGAAAUUGAAGGUCAACACUAUUGUGGAGAAACACAUCUAGUGCAAGCUUUUAAAAAAUAGUUUACAGCUGUUAGUUGGCUGGCGCCUGGAAUCCCAGCACUCACUAGGGAGGCUGAGACAGGAGGAUGUCAAACUUAAGUUAAAGUUAUCCUUGAAUACAUCGAAUGACACUGUCCCAAAAAAUAAAUUUAAAAAUGCUUUUCUUAAAAUAGAACUUACCACAAACCCACCCUUUGUAAAGUGUUGGCUAGAUUUUUUGUGCUGAGUUAGAAGACUUUGGAAGGAGAAACACAGCAAUCGUUUAUGUAACUGUUACAAGGACAACUUUAGUGACUAAGAAAUGUCUGGGGGCAUCAAAAUCUAAGCCAACUUUGUGACUGCAAUGAAAAUAAGUAAUACUUGACCUUGCAGAGAGAAAGGUCAGAAUUACAAGAUCCCACGGAGCUUACCAUGGGCGGGAGGGGGGGGUGUAGGGAAAAAAAAAAAAAAGAAGCUAGCCCUGGCAGAGCCAAAGCCUGCCUUCUGCAUACAAGGACACGUGGAGAGACAGGCACAGCUCCCCCCGGCUGGACCCCCACCGCAGCUGCCAGCUGUGUCGAAUGAGCUUCUAAAAACAAAGCCAAGGGCUUUCCUUCAGUCUUUGAACUUCCUAGUCCUUUCCUUCCCCCUCCCCCAUCUACCCGAAGCUGCCCACGGAGGCCAGAGGAUUCGGGGCGCAACGGCUCUUUCCCCAGGCGAGGUCGGGGAGCGCUGCACCCGCGUCGCAGGACCCUCGACCCCGGCCCGCAAAGCCCCGCCGGGACGAUCGCACGCCGCCAGCCCUCGGUCUCAGCUCCCACCUGUGCCCUGCAGCAUGUUCUGGCGGAGCAGGUCCCCGCUGGAGAGGUGCUUCAGCUCGAAGUGUUUGGUGAUGCGUGACGACACGGUGCCCUUGCCGGAGCCCGGGGCCCCCAUGAUCACGGCGCGCAGCAGCCGCCCCGACGCCCCCAUGGUGGCUGGCGGUGGUCCGAGCUGCGCAGACGCUGGUCUGUGGCCUGGCCUGCGCGCUCACAGGCUCCGCGGCCCUGGAGGGCUGGCAGCUGCAAGCGGGCGGUGGCCAGGACGCCCGGCUCUCCCGGAAGUGAGCGACGGCCACCGGGGCCGCCCCGCCGGCUGCUGCACCGCCCCUCCGCGCCCCUGCACCCCACUCCCUUGAGCUCCACCCGGCGCCUCUUGGCAUCCCCAGACCCUCGUGCCCUGUGCUGCCUGGUCCCAGCCUGCAGGCUGCGCCCGUCUGCAUUCUCCCCAGUGGACAACCUCUGAGCACCCCGUUCUACUUCUAGUCUCCCGCUGGCACCUCUGAGUGCCUGGAUUUCAUUUUUUUCCCCCCUCUGUGUUCACCUUUUUCACCCUUAGUCUUUUCUAAGAGCCAAGUUCUGUCCUGCUCAGACCCAACAGGAAGCAGCAUGCCCCCGUGUUGUGUCCCCUCGGCCCCUCUGGUUCACCAGGUGUUCCCCACCUUUUCACACCAAUCCUCCCUUGACCUUCUUCCCUCUGCCUUUUCACCCCAUUUCCUUCUCCUCCAGGGGUGACCUGGAACCCUCCUCACAGAAGCUUUCAUCAAGUGAAGUAUGUGUCUCAUCUCCCUGAAUCCACUUUCAGAACCAAAAGUAGCUGUCACCGUUAACUUCCGCAGAGGUCAAACAUACUAGCUCCUUCAGAAAUGCAUUCAUUUCAGGAAGAGCUACCCAGUGCCUACUGUGUGCCACUGUACUUAGAGGCCUCCGAGAAUGCUAUGCUGAACAAACCCGAGUUUCUACUGCUGUCCGUUUGUUUUCUUGCUUGUUUGUCCAGGGGUGGAAGUAAGGCUUUUUGAAACAGUACUGUGAAUAAAAACAAUAACAAACCAGC
ensembl:antisense 1700018L02Rik RIKEN cDNA 1700018L02 gene